rnacentral:lncRNA from 1 species
GUGCAGGCUGCACCCUGGCAAGCAGAGCCUGUGCAUUCGGAAUGAAAGCUUCCUUCCCUACACUCCAGUGUUAAGGAAGGGUCAGGGAAUGCAAGCAACAGGUAUUUCUCAUGUGAUCUGCACAGGGCAAGGGGGAAUGGCUUUAAGUGAAAGAAGACAGACUUAGAUUGAACAUUAGUAGGAAAUUCUUCCCUGUGAGGGUGGGGAUGCCCUGGCACAGGGUGCCCAGAGCAGCUGUGGCUGUCCCUGGCUCCCUGGCAGUGUCCAAGGCCAGGCUGGAUGGGGCUUGGGGCAACCUGGGAUAGGGGAAGGUGUCCCUGCUGCCCAUGGCAGGUUGGGAAAAAGGUAGUCUUUAAACCCAACCAUUCCAUGAUUCUGUCCCCAGAGCAGGAGAAACCUCUUCCCUGAUCAGGAAAAGCAGAAAAAUUUUGGUGCUGCCCCCUGAUCCGAGGGCUGUUGCUGGCCCUUCACGGCAAGGACCGUCCUCUCUGGGGACCCCGGCCUGGGCCCCAAACCCUCGGAUUCCUUGGCACUAGAUGGAGCACGUGAGCUUCCAGCAAAGCCAGAGCAGCCCUGGAGAAGGUCCUGCCCUGUCUGAUCAGCUCUGUUCGGCUUUGGUUCGCCAGUCCAGCCCUGCCAGGGAGGUAACUGGGACAGAGGGAGAUGGAGGAGCCUCUUUUUCCCCAGCAGAGCCUUCAGUUCAUGCCUGAGGGCUCAGGUCUGUCUUAUUUCCAUCCUCUCCCUGCCCCUGGCAUCUCCUGCAGCUGGAUGGUUGUUGGCACCUACCAAAGGCAGGUGUGCUGGAGGAGGAAAAGGAAGAGGAAAAGAUCUGAUUGCUGUGGAGCACAUUCCCCAUGCAUGGCAUCAUCCAGAAUGAAGCUGGAAAGGCCUUUUCCUGGUGCAUUUAGAAAGUCACAGGCAUGUUUAGUUUUGGGAGCAGUCAUGCACUUGGCAGUAAGAACAGCAGAUAUGGAUCCUGGAGCAAGGGAAGCUGCGUGGCUGUUGGAUGGGAUCUGCCAGCUGAGUCACACGAGGCACAUCUGA